rnacentral:rRNA from 1 species
CGGACUGCAGUCUGCAACUCGACUGCACGAAGUCGGAAUUGCUAGUAAUCGCGGAUCAGCAUGCCGCGGUGAAUAGUUCCCGGGCCUUGUACACACCGCCCGUCACACCAUGAGAGUCGGGAACACCCGAAGUCGGUAGUCUAACCUCGUGAGGACGCCGCCGAAGGUGGGCUUGAUAAUUGGGGUGAAGUCGUAACAAGGUAGC